GGGUUUGUGGGGUCCUGGUGGGGUCACUGGAGGCCCCUGGAAGGGUCCGGAGGGGGUCCUGGGGAGGUUUUGGGGGAGUCCUGGGUGGGUCCUGGGGAGGUUCUGAAGGGUCCCUGGGGGUCCUGGGGGGUCCCUGGGGGAUUUUGGGGGGUCCCAAGGAGUUUUGGGGAUCCCAGGGAGAUUUGGGGGUCCCAGGCAGGUUUGGGGGGUCCUAAUGGAGGUUUGGGGGGUCCCAGGGAGGUUUGGGGGUCCCAGGGAGGGGCGUGGUCUAUGCAGGGAGGGGGCGUGGCCAAAGGCGAUCCACAGAGACCCCCCCAUUACCCACAAUGCCCUGGGGUGAUCCCUAACCCCGCCCCCUCAUUGGUGAUGACAUCAUUAGCCACACUGAUGACGUCACUCGUCAUGUUGACACGGCCGUGGUGAGGUCACUGGACACGCCCACCCCAUCGGUGACGCCAUCGGCCACGCCCACCCUGUCAGCGAUGUCAUUGGACACAUUGAUGAUGUCAUUGGCCACGCCCACCCUGUCAGCGAUGUCAUUGGCCACACCGAUGAUGUCAUUGGCCACGCCCACCCUGUCAGCGAUGUCAUUGGACACACUGAUGAUGUCAUUGGCCACGCCCACCCUGUCAGCGAUGUCAUUGGACACACCGAUGAUGUCAUUGGCCACGCCCACCCUGUCAGCGACGUCAUUGGCCACAAUAAUGAUGCCACUGGGCUGGGAGGGGCCUUGUGCAGGGGGCGUGUCCCAGGUGGGCGUGUCCCAGGUGGGCGUGUCCAUUGGGUGUGUCCAUUGGGUGUGACUGUUGGGCGUGUCCAUUGGGUGUGUCCCAGGUGGGCGUGUCCAUUGGGUGUGUCUAUGUCCAUUGGGUGUGUCCCUUGGGCGUGUCCAGUGGCUUUGUCCAAUAAACACGUCCCAUGUGGGCGUGUCCCA
rnacentral:lncRNA from 1 species